UUUUAUCAAUUUUAUGUUUUAGAGAAGAAAUUCUAUUUUUAGACUUUUAGAUGCGUUUAUAUAGUUUUCCUCGUUUUUUGAAAUAGACAAUUUGGAAAAAUAAUGUAAAAAUGGGUUUUCCGCCUUUCUACGCGGCGCUAGUGUUUGAGGAAAAAAGUGCAGAGAUGUUGGAACGCUGACGCUGUGACGAAAAUUCACAAUUUUUGGUGGAAAAAAGCAUUGUUAUGAUUAUUUCUUCUUUCCGGACUGUAAAACUACACCAAAGUACUCCGGAAAAUACUUAAUAUCAUGGUGAUGUCUUUUAAUUCCAGGACUAUCUAGAUGUAGAUUGCAUGCGUAAUGCCGUACAUGAAUCUUAAUCCGACAGUAAGGUGAAAAAAAAGGUCUAGCAAGAGCAGAAGCCGGAGCAACAGAAGCAGCAAGUUGACGAAUGUGGUAAAUACAUUAAGAUGAAGGAAGCUGCUCAGGAGACAGUUGAAACGCCUUCGAUGCCUGAGACGCAGGAAGAGAAGAAGCCAGAAUCGACCACUGAUGACAACAAUAAUUGAAGAGAGCCUGAAGGAAUUGGGUGACCAGCAAAAAAUUCUGGACAGGCAGAAUUCUCUAAGGACAAUUGUUGUCGUUUACUUCAAGACAAUUUUCUAUACCAUCGUGUGAGGGAUGUCAACAUUCGAUGUGAUCUUGCGGAACAGAACUUCGACAUGACAAAGUUGCAGGACAUCUAGAUGAAGGAGCAACGCGAUGGUAUUAAAGAUGCCAUUGCAGGGCAGCUGAAACUCAAGGAGGAUGAUGAGAAGGAGUUAACGGAUCUCCUUGAUUGUCAUUUUGAUCCGGAGAAGCAGCCAAUUAGGUCAGUGUCCCGGAAGACAAACAAGAGACGCUUCCAGAGCAGAUAAACUUUGAGGAUUUCACGGUGACGCGUAAUGCUGUACGAGAAUCUCAAUCCGACAGUAAGGUGAAAAGGGAAGGUCAAGAGCAGAAGCCGGAGCAACAGAAGCAGCAAGUUGCGGAAGGUGGUGAACCCAAUAAGGUGGAGAAAGCUGCUCAGGAGACAGUUGAAACGCCUUCGAUGCCUGAGACGCAGGAAGAGAAGAAGCCAGAAUCGACCACUGAUGCCAGUUGUGAAGGAAGCAACAACGGUGAAGGUGCAAACAGGUGUCUUUCACUGUGUUAUCACGAGAAUGGCAACGACAAUUGAAGAGAACCGCCAGGAAGACAAUUUUCUAUACCAUCGUGUGAGGGAUGUCAACAUUCAAAAGCUGCCCAGGUGCUUCCAUGUUUGUCUUCAAGUUACCAAAUGGUGAGAAUAUUCUUCACACAGGAGAUUUUCGGGCUGGAAAUGUUUCCAAUUCUACCUCGAUACAACGUAAGUUAAAAGAACUUUAAUUAUUAUUAUUAUUUUAAAUGCAACCCAUCCAAAAAAUAACAUAAAAUCAACAAUAAAAUGAGCAUGAUCAGAAAUACUGCAAAUUAUCUAUAUAGCAUAUUUCCUGAAAUGAUUGUUUGUGGAAACGGCAGGGCCGAUGGUGAUAAAAUGGAGGUAGAAGGCCUCAAUAUGGAUCUACCUGCUGAAGGUUCAGAUAAAGGGUUUUUUUUUAUAUUAAAAAUAUUUCGGGGGUACUAUAUUAUUCAGCCCCCCUCCCUCUCCCGACUAAUAUCACAUAUUAUAGAUUUAAAUGGAAUUUGCUCACACGGGUUUGGGGGCUCAGGUUUGGUUUUUUAUGCACAUCUACCUAUAUAAUAAAGAAAGGUAAUCGUAUCUAUACAGUUCCUUAUAUCAGGUGGUUUC